rnacentral:misc_RNA from 1 species
AGUGCAAUUAACCAUAAAGCUAGCUUCUACUUGUCUUGAUGCGGUGUUUGCUAAUUUUGUUGGGGUGAAGGAUGUAGAGAAGAGGUUGAAGUAUCAUAGUAACUUGCUUACAAGAGGAGUUGGAGGGCUAGACAUGGAGAACAGAAAGGCGGAGGAGUGGGCCAGCCAAAUUCAAUGCUGGUCUCUUUAUCUUUUAAAUUGCUUUGCUUGCAAAGAGAGGUGUUUAGAUCUCAUUUGCAGGCAAGAAUUUUUAAAAUAUUUGUGUGGAAUGUGUGGUGGAUUGGUGAAUCAUUCAUCACCUGCAGGAGUUGGACUCAUUAGAAUAUUGUGCUACAGUAAAAAUGGCAGAAAGAGCAUUGCUGAAUCAAAAGAAGUUAUAAACAAUAUAUGCAAUCUCUCGAGAUCUUCAGAUGAUUGGCAGUACAUGGGCAUCGAUUGUCUUCUGUUACUUCUCAAAGAUCAAGAUACCAGGUAUAAAGUCAUAGAAAUUACCACCUUGUUUCUUGUAGAUUUGGUUGAACUUAAAAGCCUUGGCGAUAGAUUAAAUGUGGGUGAAGCAAUAACAAAAGCACUUCUUUUAGACUAUAAACAAAUCAAGUUGAAGGUAAAGAAAAAAAAUGUUCUAAAUGUGUUACAAGAAAUGUGGAAUUUGAAAGUAGAGAGGAGAAGAAGAGAGAAAUUAAUGCUGUCAGAAGAAAAGGCUGAGGAAAGGAGAGUUUUGGUGGGAUUAAUAAAGCAACAAGGAAACCACAUGUUUUGGUUAGGAAAUAUAGAAGAAGCAUUAGUGAAGUAUACUGAAGCACUAGCUAUGUGCCCGCUAAGGUUGAGAAAGGAAAGAAUGGUCCUUCAUAGUAAUAGAGCUCAGUGUCACUUGCUGCUAAGAGACCCAGAUGCAGCCAUUAGUGACUCAACUCGAGCUCUUUGCCUAUCCAACCCAGCAAACUCUCAUAGCAAAAGCCUUUGGAGGAGAUCACAGGCGUAUGACAUGAAAGGGUUAGCUAAAGAGAGCUUGAUGGACUCUAUAAUGUUUAUCAAUUGCUGCAUCAGAACUGAAACAAGCAAACGCGUGAAAAUCCCAUACUUUGCAGCACGUAUGAUCAGCAAACAGACGGAAGCAACGUGGCUAUUUGCGGGUGCCAAGUCAAGGGCAUCAAUAAGUCAAGUGGAUCAAGCAGUACAAGAAUUGGAUGGUGAUCAUGACUUGCAGAAAUAUGAGGAAAUAAUGAAAAUUAGGAUGAAGAAAAAAGGUUUCAUAUCUCUGGUCUGUCAACCAUAAUGGAAGAGCCGCUCGUGGGAAAAGAGGUGAGCAAAAGAAAGCUGGGGAGGCGGCCAAGAAGGCGGAAAAAUCUGGUUAUUGUGGCCAUGGCAAGGCUUGUGGUGGGUACUUUAGGUUUUGGCCUUCUGUUUAGCCUUAUAGAAGUUGGGAUUUG